GCGCUGGCCCUGCGGCCUUUCCUUUCCUUUGACGGGAGUCCCAGGCUCUAAUUCCUGUCUCACUAGAAGUGCUGGACUAAGAAGAGGAGCAGGGUUGCUGUCUAUGUGCUAGGACACUGCUAAUCUCAUCAAACUGCUGUAUUAGAAAUAAUGCCACAGAAGACACAAGAUGCAAUUUGAUCAGACACCAGGAAAAGGGCUGGGAGUCUGCUGGAAUUUUCAGUUUCCUGAUGU